rnacentral:tRNA from 1 species
GGGGCGGUCGUCUAGCCUGGUUAGGAUUGCAGCUUCGGGAGUUGCAGACGGGAGUUCAAAUCUCCCCCGCCUCA